CUGCUCCCCACCACCACCUUUAGGGACCCUUUCCCCAGACAGACUGACCCAUACACAGUGCACUGCCUUACAGGUGUUACAGGGAAUGUGAAACAGACCUGAGGGAAACGGAGAGCAUAGAGUGCUUCUGUUUAACCUUUUCAUAGAGCAUAAAGACAAGGAGUGAUUUAACAAGAAUGAAGGAUGAGAAAUUACUAAGAGACAGAUUGGGAUCACAACAACAGCUGCUUGCAUGAUGGAUCUACGCAGAUAUCCUCUGGAUGAACAAAAUUGCACACUAGAAAUUGAAAGUUGUCAAGCCAACUACUGACACCGAGGACAGAGCGGUCUGCCUAAGCAAAGUUAUUAAGACUACAUAAAGUAGGGUCCAAUGCAAAAUAAUGCAACAGUUUUCUAAGAAUUUUAGUUUGCCACAGUACAACUGUUGCAAAAUUAC
rnacentral:lncRNA from 1 species